rnacentral:rRNA from 1 species
AUGUGGAAGAUCCCGUAUGCGAACGAGGUCCCGCCAGACCUCAAGAUUCUGAUUCGCCACCUUGAAGCAGUGGUGGCUCGUCUGGGCGGAAAAGGUGGUCUUGCCACUUCCUACACAUCAGCACCCGCGCCGGCACAUGUGUCAUCUCUGCUGGAGAAACUCGAUGCAGCUCAUGCGGGGAUCACUCAAGGACUUCGCCGCCUCGAGAAGGAAGGGCCGCGCCUGGAGAGACGCCUUACCGACCUUGCCUCCCUCUGCAAAAGACAAAAGAAGUUGGCCGAAGAACAUCGGACACUUGCCGACAAACAAUAG